UGCCCUGUAGCUCAGUCGGUAGAGCGCUGCGUUGAAGGCGUAGGCGUCUUAGGUUCGAAUCCUAGCGGGACAACCA
rnacentral:tRNA from 1 species